rnacentral:rRNA from 1 species
UCCACCGAUUGACUAAGGUUUCCAGAGGAAGGCUCGUCCGCUCUGGGUUAGUCGGGUCCUAAGCUGAGGCCGACAGGCGUAGGCGAUGGAUAACAGGUUGAUAUUCCUGUACCACCUAUAAUCGUUUUAAUCGAUGGGGGGACGCAGUAGGAUAGGCGAAGCGUGCGAUUGGAUUGCACGUCUAAGCAGUAAGGCUGAGUAUUAGGCAAAUCCGGUACUCGUUAAGGCUGAGCUGUGAUGGGGAGAAGACAUUGUGUCUUCGAGUCGUUGAUUUCACACUGCCGAGAAAAGCCUCUAGAUAGAAAAUAGGUGCCCGUACCGCAAACCGACACAGGUAGUCAAGAUGAGAAUUCUAAGGUGAGCGAGCGAACUCUCGUUAAGGAACUCGGCAAAAUGACCCCGUAACUUCGGGAGAAGGGGUGCUCUUUAGGGUUAACGCCCAGAAGAGCCGCAGUGAAUAGGCCCAAGCGACUGUUUAUCAAAAACACAGGUCUCUGCUAAACCGUAAGGUGAUGUAUAGGGGCUGACGCCUGCCCGGUGCUGGAAGGUUAAGAGGAGUGGUUAGCUUCUGCGAAGCUACGAAUCGAAGCCCCAGUAAACGGCGGCCGUAACUAUAACGGUCCUAAGGUAGCGAAAUUCCUUGUCGGGUAAGUUCCGACCCGCACGAAAGGCGUAACGAUUUGGGCACUGUCUCAACGAGAGACUCGGUGAAAUCAUAGUACCUGUGAAGAUGCAGGUUACCCGCGACAGGACGGAAAGACCCCGUGGAGCUUUACUGUAGCCUGAUAUUGAAAUUCGGCACAGCUUGUACAGGAUAGGUAGGAGCCUUUGAAACGUGA